rnacentral:rRNA from 1 species
AAGUUGUAACAAGGUUUCCGUAGGUGAACCUGCGGAAGGAUCAUUAACAAAUCCCAAUAGUUGUGUGUUGGGGGAAACCCUACCCGCAAAUAUUAAACCGCCGGUUUAACGACUGGCUGGUAAAUAUAAAUGCAUGUUUUGUUGACAGUGUGUGUGACUAAAAUUUAUUGACAACUUUUAACAAUGGAUCUCUAGGCUCUUGCAGCGAUGAAGAACGCAGCAAAGUGCGAAAAGUGUUGCGAUUUGCACGAAUCUGUGAGUCAUCUAAUUUUUGAACGCGAAUGGCACUGCUACGUAAGUAGCAGUAUGUCUGUUUGAGAAUCGCAAAACAAGAUCAACUCUAGUUGAGAGUUGGGAUUGACCUUAUGUGCCUCACAUUUGGUUUAAAUAAAUCGAGUUGAUGAGCUUCCCAACCCGGCUCAAUGUGUGCUAGCGAGACAGUCGUCCCGAUCUCACAUUUCGGUCGUGUUGCAGAGUUCUAACCACAAUUCGCUAAAUUCAUUAAUCAAAUACGAUCUCAAAUCAGGCAAGAUUACCCGCUGAACUUAA